UCACUUUCAACAACGGAUCUCUUGGUUCUCGCAUCGAUGAAGAACGUAGCAAAGUGCGAUAAGUAGUGUGAAUUGCAGAAUUCCGUGGAUCAUCGGAUUUUUGAACGCAAAUUGCACUCUUCGAUUUCGAGGAGUAUGCCUGUUUGAGGGUCGUUA
rnacentral:rRNA from 1 species